rnacentral:sRNA from 1 species
AACAUUUUUGAAGUCAAUGUUGCUAAUGUCUCCUUUUGCAACGUUUAUUUAGUGUUGCGAAACUUUUUAUAUUUGCAACGCUUAUCAAACGUUGCGAAAAACCCUUUUAGCAAUGUUUUUUGCAAAAGAUCAAAAACGUU